GCAAUGAAGACAUUAUGCCUGUUAAAUUUGCGUUCACUGACUUUGCUGAUUUAUCUGACUACAUGGAUGAUAAAAACAAGUCCGUUGAUGUCCUCGGAGUGGUGAUCAGUUCAUUGGCCAUGAAGACAAUCACUAGAAACUCCAGACAGUCAAAUGUUCAGAAAUUUGUCCUCCUAAAUGAAGAGUCUCAAACUGUCCUGCUAUCUUUAUGGGAUGAUUUUCUGAACAAUG